UACGAAGGGGGCUAGCGUUGCUCGGAAUUACUGGGCGUAAAGGGAGCGUAGGCGGACAUUUAAGUCAGGGGUGAAAUCCCAGAGCUCAACUCUGGAACUGCCUUUGAUACUGGGUGUCUUGAGUGUGAGAGAGGUAUGUGGAACUCCGAGUGUAGAGGUGAAAUUCGUAGAUAUUCGGAAGAACACCAGUGGCGAAGGCGACAUACUGGCUCAUUACUGACGCUGAGGUGCGAAAGCGUGGGGAGCAAACAGG
rnacentral:rRNA from 1 species